AAAAUGUAAGUGCCAUUACUUUGAGAAGUGGGAAAGAGCUUCAAGAUGCAAAAUUUGAGGAGGAAAAGCAAGUUGAACCAAAGCAUGCAUCAUCUGAGACACCCUCUGCACAACAUCCAAGGCAAUCUGAAGCCUCUUCAUCACAUUCUGCACCACCUCCUGCGCAAAGAGCUGACCCGAAGGUAAGUUUUCACAUCCCACCUCCUUUUCCAAAAAGAUUUGAAAGAACUCAAAAAGAAAAAGAAGAAAAGGAGAUCCUUGA
rnacentral:lncRNA from 1 species